rnacentral:rRNA from 1 species
AUUGAACGCUGGCGGCAGGCCUAACACAUGCAAGUCGAGCGGAUGAAGGGAGCUUGCUCCUGGAUUCAGCGGCGGACGGGUGAGUAAUGCCUAUGAAUCUGCCUGGUAGUGGGGGAUAACGUCCGGAAACGGGCGCUAAUACCGCAUACGUCCUGUGGGAGACAGUGGGGGAUCUUCGGAUCUCACGCUAUCAGAUGAGCCUAGGUCGGAUUAGUGAGUUGGUGGGGUAAAUGCCUACCAAGGCUACGAUCCUAAACUGGUCCGAGGGGAUGAUCAGUCACACGGUCUCUGAGACUGGUCCCACACUCCUAGGGGGGGCAGCAGUGGGGAAUAUUGGACGAUGGACGAAAGCCUGAUCCAGCCAUGCCGCGUGUGUGAAGAAGGUCUUCGGCUUGUAAAGCACUUUAAGUUGGGAGGAAGGGCAGUACGUUAAUACCUUGCUGUUUUGACGUUACCAACAGAAUAAGCUCCGGCUAACUUCGUG